rnacentral:rRNA from 1 species
CAAAGGCUUGGUCCUGACUUUACUAUCAACUUUAGCUAAACUUACACAUGCAAGUAUCCGCACCCCUGUGAGAAUGCCCUACAGUUCCCUGCCCGGGAACAAGGAGCUGGUAUCAGGCACAUUAAGUUAAGCCCACGACACCUUGCUUAGCCACACCCCCAAGGGAACUCAGCAGUGAUAAACAUUAAGCCAUAAGUGAAAACUUGACUUAGUCAAAGCUAAGAGGGCCGGUAAAACUCGUGCCAGCCACCGCGGUUAUACGAGAGGCCCAAGUUGAUAGCCCCCGGCGUAAAGAGUGGUUAAGAUAACCUGAAUAAUAAAGCCGAAUACCCUCAAAGCUGUUAUACGCACCCGAGAGUAAGAAGAACAAUCACGAAAGUGGCUUACAACAC